CAGCAGUUCAAGUUGCAUCCCUUUUUAUUGGGCCUAAAGCAUCCGUAGCCGGCUCUGUAAGUUUUCGGUUAAAUCUGUAUGCUCAACAUACAGGCUGCCGGGAAUACUGCAGAGCUAGGGAGUGGGAGAGGUAGACGGUACUCGGUAGGAAGGGGUAAAAUCCUUUGAUCUAUUGAUGACCACCUGUGGCGAAGGCGGUCUACCAGAACACGUCCGACGGUGAGGGAUGAAAGCUGGGGGAGCAAACCGGAUUAGAUACCCGAGUAGUCC
rnacentral:rRNA from 1 species